CAUUUGCAUACACAUAAAAUCUUGGCUACUACACUACACUAGAGAGUUCAUUACCUGUGUAUAGGCAAAACAUUUUAUGAUCUUCGCUCUCAAAGCUAUCCUAAACUUUGAAUUGACUAUUUCAUCCCUUUUAGACAUUGCAUUUCCUUCUUCCAAACUCCCAAUGAGCUUUGAGUUAAAUCGUGUUGUAUCUUGUUGUAUCUCAAAAUGAACUGAUGAAUGUGCGACGAGUGGGCGAAACAAACCUGUUAGACUCCGUCAUCACUAGGAAAACACUGCGUGAUUAGCAGUUAGGGUUCAUGUCACUGUAGGCUAUUCAAAAAGGGGGCGAAAGGUGCGACGACAUCAGGAUCUUGUGGUUCUGUUGAUAAUAAAGGCUCUCUCUCUCUUUCUCUCUCGGCUGUUGCGCUCUUUCCCUCGCUCUGUAAAUGCUUUCGUCUGUUCAAAUUCCAUAGUCGCCUAGCCGGCUGCACUUUCAUACGCUAUAAACGUUGUCUGGAUCUGAAAAUGCAAUUUUGAUGGGAAGAACGUUCUAAUGUCCUUCUGGGGAAUACAAGGGCGACUCGACACUGUUUCAAGAUAGACAAAGGUGUCCUCACACGCGUAUCACAAUGGAUCUCUCAUUUAUGGCUGCGCAGUCGGUCAUGGCGGGGGCCUUCAUGGACUCGCCCAAUGAUGACGACAGCACGGACCACUCACUUUUCAACUCCUCGGCCAGCGUCCAUGCCGCCUCUAUGGCGGCCCAUGACCAGCCGGAGCGGGAGCCCAUGUCCCGCGACGCCAUCUGGCUUUGGAUUGCAAUCACCGCCACCAUAGGGAACAUUGUGGUCGUGGGAGUGGUGUACGCUUUCACUUUCUGAGUGGUGGAAGCCAUGAUGGAGACAUGCCAGCAGGAGGAAGCUUCUGGACAAGACAUUUGGACAUGAGCUAGGAACACCACAGCAGCCAACGGCCACUCUCAAAGUCUACACUGUUACAGAGCAGUGAAUGAUUCUUGCAUUGGCAUCUUGUCCAAGCAUUUGAAAGACAAGGCAUUGUUCACAAUUACAGAAAUUAAUAUGUGUAAUAUGUUGGUCAUGUUACUGCAGCCAAAGGUCAAAAUAUGGAAUAUUGUAUACAUUAGUGCUGUUGACUAUACAUUAAGAUGUUAACAUUUCUGAUGAAGCUUUAAAUAGUGAACAGUGAUGUACUCUGAAUACCCUCAGAUGUGAUUGGUAAAUUCUGAAAUCAUUGGACGUAAAAUAUUCAGAUAAUAAAACCUUAGUAAUGUGCCGUUUGGAGCGUUUAGAGAUCAUUGAAUGGAAAGUAACACCGGUAAGUUUUUAACAUGUCUUUAACAUCACAGUCGUUACUGUAUUCUACAUAUAUCUGCCCAAAAUAUGGAGUUUAUGACAAACAUACUAGACACAGAAUGUCCAAAGAUCUUUACUGUCUGCAUGACAAUAUAGUUCCACCUGACAGCAUCAGUUUUGGAUCAAGUUAAUCUAGUUCUCCGCUUUUCUCCUCUUUUUUGCCUAAGUGAGCCUUGAGUGCUGAAUAGACAAUAUUUUCCCAGCAUAUUUAUAUCUAAGAUGGUAGGGGUAACCUAAAUCUAUUUCUCUUAAACACUCCUAUCAGACCUCAAACCCAUAUGAGCGGGAACUACAAUUUAUAGGAAUGGAUGUUCACCUUGAACACUUUUCACAGAUGUUUACAUGUGGAAACAACAUUCCUCACACUUAGAAGUCACUUGGAUUCAAGUCUAGUGUACAUACAUCUUGAUGUGACUGCUGUAACCAUUUCAAUGUCGGUCUUGAUGUAUAUUUUGAUCGAGUAUUAUCUUUCUUCCUCUUUAUAGUCUCAAACACAUUGUAACCCAAACUGCCUUCCAAGCCAAAUAGUUUUAAUGAGCCCUGGAUGCGACAAUAGUCAGUUGCCAUAGCGAUGCAUCUCUGUCGCUAUGUGCCUCAAAGAUACCAUGUCUCUCGUUCCCAGUGCAGCACACCUGUUUAUCUCUCUCUAAACUCCCUAGCACAUCUACCUAACAGACACACACACACACACACACACACACACACACACACACACACACACACACACACACACACACACACACACACACAGGCUCUUUACAUGUGGACAUCGAUCACAUCAUACAUUAGCUGAUACUCUAUAACAUUAAGAGUCAACUUAGAUACCAUAAGUUGAAUGAUACUCUACACAUAUGAGCUUUAGAGCUCAAAUUGUUUUCUACUGCUGGUUGCCCUUAGAUACCAUAAGCAUUUCAUAUAGUAGAGCAGGACUCUCCAACCCUGUUCCUGGAGAGCUACCCUCCUGUAGGUGUUCUCUCCAACCCUGUUCCGGGAGAGCUACGCUUCUGAAGGUGUUCUCUCCAACCCUGUUCCUGGAGAGCUACCCUCCUCUAGGUGUUCUCUCCAACCUUGUUCCUGGAGAGCUAUCCUCCUCUAGGUUUUCAUUCCAACCCUAAUACAGCACACCUGAUUCAAAUAAUUAGCUGGUUGAUGAGCAGAAUCCGGUCAGUUACAACUGGGGUUGCAGCAAAACUACUGGAGGGUAGCUCUCCAGGAACAGGGUUGGAGAGAACACCUACAGGAGAGUUGCUCUCCAGGAACAGGGUUGGAGAGAACACCUACAGGAGAGUAGUUCUCCAGGAACAGGAUUGGAGAGAACACCUACAGGAGAGUAGCUCUCCAGGAACAGGGUUGGAGAGAACACCUACAGGAGAGUAGCUCUCCAGGAACAGGAUUGGAGAGAACACCUACAGGAGAGUAGCUCUCCAGGAACAGGAUUGGAGAGAACACCUACAGGAGAGUAGCUCUCCAGGAACAGGAUUGGAGAGAACACCUACAGGAGAGUAGCUCUCCAGGAACAGGAUUGGAGAGAACACCUACAGGAGAGUAGCUCUCCAGGAACAGGAUUGGAGAGAACACCUACAGGAGAGUAGCUCUCCAGGAACAGGAUUGGAAAGCCCUGCUCUUCACAUAUUGUGUUUACCCCGGAGAGCCAGAAUAGUUGUCUACUGCUUUUACUGUGUGCCCUUGGUGCACAUUGGUGUCAGCGGUGGGAUUCAGAGAAAGUUACCAGACAGAGGGCAUCCACACCUCCAAACCCCAAAGUCACUCUCUAAAUUGCAGCAGGCAGACACUAAGCUCCCCUUUAAGUGUAGUGUUGAGACUGGGAGGCUACAUCUCUGAUGUGUCUCUGCCUCAUCGUAGAGCAGACCCCAGGAGGUCAAACACAACAUUAAUACAGUCACAGUUUGUGAAUAGUCAAAGUCUGCUUUUCAAAUGGCACCCUAUUCCCCAAAUAACACACUGUGGGCCCUGGUCAAAAGUAGUGCACUAUGUAGGGAAUAGGGCACCAUUUGGGAUGCUGACAUUUGUUUGACUGUGACGGCAGGGACGGUCACCGCGUGAUGUAGUCCUGGGAUAGGGGAUACAAUGUCCUUUUGAUUAUAAUGGAUGAGACCUUCAUAUGGUUUGGUGUGAUAAGUUGGUCCGUUAUUAACCUUGAUUAAUCAAUCAUUAACGGAGAGAUGGAUGACUUGUUGAAGCGGUCUUAAUGAUAUGCUGAUUAAGAAAUCUCUCUUUUUCUGGAGAAGUAUGAUUUUUUUUAAUGAGAUUGAGCUCAAUUAAAAAAUAUAUAAUUUAAUUUGGGCGUAGAUGGAUUUGAUGUGAAAUCAGAUAUUAACCCCAUUCUAGAUUAUCCAUAUAAAAUUGUCCAAACAGCAAACUAUUUCAAGACAAUAACUCAGAAGACGUAUACAUGGAUGUUUGAGUACGCUCUGCAUACUCUGAGCAGUUGAUUAUGACUUUGUUCCAGUUCGUUAACUAAGUAUUCAAGGUCUUACUGAAAAUACCAUUUGUAAAGAUAGAUGGUGUGAUAAUCCACACUGUUCUUCACUUGCAGUGUAACUAUGGUCUUUUGUAUCAGUUAUUAUGUAUGUACUAUUAAAAUGUAGUUUGGUAAAUGUCAUCAAUAAAUGUCAUGUGGCUGGGUGUGAUCAUUCACAGAAACACAGAAUCAUCCUUGAGGAUACAUUUUAUUUGAUCUAAUGUUAUUUCAUUAAAGUUGUCUAAAAAUAAUUCAAGUAUAUGUCACAGGAGUCAUUAAGCAUGUUCUCAUGUUCUUCUGUCAUUCUCAAUAUCAUCCUCACAUGCAAUAAUUAUUAUGUUCAGAGAUAAUAAUCUGAAUGGCAUUAACCAGUGUGAGAUGAUUGAUGAGUGUUUCAAUAUCCAAGCAGUUUCUCAACCUCAAUCGAUCACAGAAAUGCUGCAUUAUGUUUCAUAUGAAGCUCUACUGGUUGGUAUUGAAACGCUGAUGUUUCAGAUUACUUUUAUCAUGCCAGUGGCCUACAGAAUGC
rnacentral:lncRNA from 1 species